UCCAAGGCUAAAUACUCCUGACUGACCGAUAGUGAACCAGUACCGUGAGGGAAAGGCGAAAAGAACCCCGGCGAGGGGAGUGAAAAAGAACCUGAAACCGUGUACGUACAAGCAGUGGGAGCACCUUCGGGUGUGACUGCGUACCUUUUGUAUAAUGGGUCAGCGACUUAUAUUCUGUAGCAAGGUUAACCGUAUAGGGGAGCCGCAGGGAAACCGAGUCUUAACUGGGCGUUAAGUUGCAGGGUAUAGACCCGAAACCCGGUGAUCUAGCCAUGGGCAGGUUGAAGGUUGGGUAACACUAACUGGAGGACCGAACCGACUAAUGUUGAAAAAUUAGCGGAUGACUUGUGGCUGGGGG
rnacentral:rRNA from 1 species